rnacentral:rRNA from 1 species
UAUGGUAAUUGUGUGCCAGCCUCCUCUUUACUACGUAGGCGGCAAGCGUUGUCCGGAAUUAUUGGGCGUAAAGGGAGCGCAGGCGGGAAACUAAGCGGAUCUUAAAAGUGCGGGGCUCAACCCCGUGAUGGGGUCCGAACUGGUUUUCUUGAGUGCAGGAGAGGAAAGCGGAAUUCCCAGUGUAGCGGUGAAAUGCGUAGAUAUUGGGAAGAACACCAGUGGCGAAGGCGGCUUUCUGGACUGUAACUGACGCUGAGGCUCGAAAGCUAGGGUAGCGAACGGG